CAGGCCAUUCUCAAGCACAACCUGGGUGAGGCUCUGUCAUUGCUUAAUGGAUCAGCUGUAUAGUAACAGCAGAAGAUAAAACAUGGAUUCUCUGAGCUCUGUGGUAACUCCACACCUGCAUUUCUCAGGAUCCAGCCUUGGAUAGGAAAUGCCCCAAACUGAGCCAAGGCUGCCUUGGCCUUGGCAAGAAGUUAAAGCUCGCCAACCUCAUGUUUUCCUUAACUCAACAGUCUUCAUUCCAGUUGUAGUAAUCUAAUUAGCAGCACAUGGAACUGUCCCCCUUAUUCCACCUCAUGUGUCCUAUCAGGAGGUACAAAGGUAGUGUAAUAAAUAAAAUCGGCAUUCUAAUAAUACCUAGCGUAUCAUUUAUGUUACCUUUCCCCUCUUAGAAGUACCAUGCGUGCUCUUUGACUGAUGUUACUAGCCUAAAAAAUCAUUACUUUCCCUGGCUGAAUUGCCAUUUGCAAUCAUGCCAUAAUUUAGUAAUUAAAAUCUAUUUGUAAGCUAACCUCUUUUCUAUUUGGCUCUCUGUGAUAGCUAGCAAAUGGUCCCAAUGAUCCUUGCCUCCUGAUAUGCAUCUCUUGUGUCAGUGACAACAUCAAUUGGGGCUGAUUUGUGCAAACAGUAGAAUAUUGUAGAAAUGACAGUGAGUUACUCUGGAGGCAAGGUCAGAAAAGACACUGUGGCUCCACCUUGCUCUCUCUUUGAGCAUUUUCUCUGGGGAAAGUAGUUGCUAUGUUGUGAAGAUAUUCAAGUAGCUUAUUGAGGAGGAACUGAGACCUCCUGAAAACAAUGAACGACAUGUGCAUGAGCCUCCAGAAGCAGACCCAUCAGUUCCAGUCAAGCCUUCAGAUAAAGGCAUCCUUGGCCAACAUCUUCACUGCAACUUCAUGAGAGAAUGAGCUAGAACUACUCAGCUAAGGUGCUCCAGAAUUCUGGACACAUAGAAAUUGUGUGAGAUAAUAAAUAUUUGUUGUUUUAAGCUGCUGAACUUUGGGUUAAUUUGUUAUGAUGCAAUGAAUAUUAUUAAUACACUGUCUUAUUUUCUUGUUUGAAUUCCUGAGUUCUUUC
rnacentral:lncRNA from 1 species